rnacentral:rRNA from 1 species
CAUAAAAAUUUAUAAUAGAAUUUUAUUUUUUAGUCAAAAAGCUAAAAUAUAUUUAAAAGACGAGAAGACCCUAUAAAUCUUUAUAUUUAGGUUAUUAUAAUUUUAUAGAUUUUUUUUGUUAUAAUAAUUGAUAAUAUUUUAUUGGGGUGAUAUUAAAAUUUGAUAAACUUUUAAUUGUUUAAAUCAUUAAUUUAUGAAUAAUUGAUCCGUUAUUAGCGAUUAAAAAAAUAAGUUACCUUAGGGAUAACAG